AGCCCCGUGGUGUAGCGGCCAAUCAUGGCGGCCUUUGGAGCCGCUGACCCUGGUUCGAAUCCGGGCGGGGCUACCA
rnacentral:tRNA from 1 species